GUGAAUCAUCAAAUCUUUGAACGCAUAUUGCACUAUCUGGUAUUCCGGAGAGUAUGCCUAUUUGAGGAUCAUUUGAAAUAAUAUAAAUUUCGAGAUUUUCUUGAAAACAAAAAUUGGUCGUUCUAGCUUUCGUGUGGUGGUCGCCUAUAAUGCAAGACAAGCUCAUUUCUUUGUUUGCAUGAUACUUUCGG
rnacentral:misc_RNA from 1 species